GAGACAGAGUCUCGCUCUGUCGCCCAGGCUGGAGUGCAGUGGCACGAUCUCGGCUCACUGCAACCUCCGCCUCCCGGGUUCACGCCAUUCUCCUGCCCCAGCCUCCCAAGUAGCUGGGACUAUAGGCGCCCGCCAUCACGCCCGGCUAAUUUUUUGUAUAUUUAGUAGAGACGGGGUUUCACCGUGUUAGCCAGGAUGGUCUCGAUCUCCUGACCUCAUGAUCCGCCUGCCUAGGCCAUCAGAGUAGUUUUGGGAAAACCACUGAGAGUGAGGCAAGCCACGCUGGAAGGUGAAAACUGACAGGUAGGGAGAUGGAGGGGCUAAGGCCUGUUUCACCACAGCACGGUGGACCUGUGCUUCUGCAGAUGUGGAGGGGGUGGCCGCCCCUCACUUUCCAGGAGGUAGAGAGCAAAAGCCCUUCCAAUGACCUUGGUACCUACUGUGCCCUUGAUCUCGCGUUCCUAGCUAUCUCAUGGGUUCUGCACCGGUGCCUCCUCCUGCCCUCGGUAAGGCACCUUCUAGGUCCAGCUGUGGGGCAGGGAGCGACAGGCAGGAAUGAUCUGACCCCUUUGGCCGGGCACGGUGACAGAUGGGCUGAAAGAUGAGUCACUAAACAUGAUCUGGGGUGCGGGGCGGGGGUGCAGCUCAGUUUCAGCCCCUCGCGCCGGGGAGGAUGACCGUGCAGCUUUAUAUAGCCCCUGAGCCCUAUAUAAGCAAGUCAGAGGCCGGGGCUCGUCCGACAGGAGCCCUCAAGCUGAUCUGGUCGGGACCGGAUACAUUAUUAACCCCAGUGCAGUAGGGUCCCCAGGGGCAACC
rnacentral:lncRNA from 10 species